GACGAACGCUGGCGGCGUGCUUAACACAUGCAAGUCGAGCGGUAAGGCCCUUUCGGGGGUACACGAGCGGCGAACGGGUGAGUAACACGUGGGUGACCUGCCCUCAGCUCUGGGAUAAGCCUGGGAAACCGGGUCUAAUACCGGAUAUGACUCCAUGACGCAUGUUGUGGGGUGAAAGCCUUGUGCGGCUGAGGAUGGGCCCGCGGCCUAUCAGCUUGUUGGUGGGGUGANGGCCUACCAAGGCGACGACGGGUAGCCGGCCUGAGAGGGCGACCGGCCACACUGGGACUGAGACACGGCCCAGACUCCUACGGGAGGCA
rnacentral:rRNA from 1 species